rnacentral:rRNA from 1 species
ACGGAUCCUUCGGGAUUAGUGGCAGACGGGUGAGUAACGCGUGGGAAGCUACCUUGUGGUAGGGGACAACAGUUGGAAACGACUGCUAAUACCCUAUGAGCCCUAUGGGGGAAAGAUUUAUCGCCAUGAGAUGUGCCCGCGUUAGAUUAGCUAGUUGGUAAGGUAAUGGCUUACCAAGGCGACGAUCUAUAGCUGGUCUGAGAGGAUGAUCAGCCACACUGGGACUGAGACACGGCCCAGACUCCUACGGGAGGCAGCAGUGGGGAAUAUUGGACAAUGGGGGCAACCCUGAUCCAGCCAUGCCGCGUGUGUGAUGACGGCCUUAGGGUUGUAAAGCACUUUCAGCAGUGAAGAUAAUGACAUUAACUGCAGAAGAAGCCCCGGCUAACUUCGUGCCAGCAGCCGCGGUAAUACGAAGGGGGCUAGCGUUGUUCGGAAUCACUGGGCGUAAAGAGUACGUAGGCGGACUGAUAAGUUAGGGGUGAAAUCCCAAGGCUCAACCUUGGAACUGCCUUUGAUACUGUCAGUCUUGAGAUCGAGAGAGGUGAGUGGAACUCCGAGUGUAGAGGUGAAAUUCGUAGAUAUUCGGAAGAACACCAGUGGCGAAGGCGGCUCACUGGCUCGAUACUGAC